rnacentral:rRNA from 1 species
AGCGAACGCUGGCGGCAGGCCUAACACAUGCAAGUCGAGCGCCCAGCAAUGGGAGCGGCAGACGGGUGAGUAACGCGUGGGGAUCUACCCAUUGGUACGGAAUAACCCAGGGAAACUUGGACUAAUACCGUAUGUGCCCUUCGGGGGAAAGAUUUAUCGCCAAUGGAUGAACCCGCGUCUGAUUAGCUAGUUGGUGAGGUAAAGGCUCACCAAGGCGACGAUCAGUAGCCGGUCUGGGAGGAUGAGCAGCCACAGUGGGACUGAGACACGGCCCAGACGCCUACGGGAGGCAGCAGUGGGGAAGAUUGGACAAUGGGCGCAAGCCUGAUCCAGCCAUGCCGCGUGAGUGAUGAAGGCCUUAGGGUUGUAAAGCUCUUUCGCCGGUGAAGAUAAUGACGGUAACCGGAGAAGAAGCCCCGGCUAACUUCGUGCCAGCCGCCGCGGUAACAC